rnacentral:rRNA from 1 species
UACGGGGGGGGGCAAGCGUUGUUCGGAAUUACUGGGCGUAAAGGGCUCGUAGGCGGCCAACUAAGUCAGACGUGAAAUCCCUCGGCUUAACCGGGGAACUGCGUCUGAUACUGGAUGGCUUGAAUCCGGGAGAGGGAUGCGGAAUUCCAGGUGUAGCGGUGAAAUGCGUAGAUAUCUGGAGGAACACCGGUGGCGAAGGCGGCAUCCUGGACCAAUAUUGACGCUGAGGAGCGAAAGCCAGGGGAGCAAACGGG